UACGGAGGGGGCUAGCGUUGCUCGGAAUUACUGGGCGUAAAGGGCGCGUAGGCGGACUUUUUAGUCAGGCGUGAAAGCCCCGGGCUCAACCCGGGAACUGCGUUUGAUACUGGAAGUCUAGAGUUCUGGAGAGGGUGGUGGAAUUCCCAGUGUAGAGGUGAAAUUCGUAGAUAUUGGGAAGAACACCGGUGGCGAAGGCGGCCACCUGGCCAGAUACUGACGCUAAGGCGCGAAAGCGUGGGGAGCAAACAGG
rnacentral:rRNA from 1 species